rnacentral:rRNA from 1 species
AGCGAAUAGAUACCCGGGUAGUCCACGCGGUAAACGAUGAAUACUAGGCGUAGGUGGAGUGAAAUCCAUCUGUGCCGAAAGCAAACGCGAUAAGUAUUCCGCCUGGGGAGUACGGCCGCAAGGCUAAAACUCAAAGGAAUUGACGGGGGCCGGCACAAGACAGCGGAGCGUGUGGUUUAAUUUACGAUGCAACACGAAGAACCUUACCCUGGGUUUGGUACAUCUGCGUAGUAGUGAACUGAAAGGGGAACGGACUCUUCGGUAGAGCGCAGACAGGUGCUGCAUGGCGUGUCGUCAGCUCGUGUCGUGAGAUGUUGGGUUAAGUCCCGCAACGAGCGCAACCCCUACUUGCCAGUUACAAGUGUCUGGCGAGACUGCCGGUAGAAAACCGGA